rnacentral:misc_RNA from 1 species
CUCUUUCUUGUGAAGUCCCCGCCAGAGCCUUCAACUCCGCAUGCUUAUGCUAGGAGGCGUCCGACCGGGUGCUGUGACCAAUAUGCUGUCCGCGAUACCGAGUACCGUUCGAGGCUCAGAGCACACCGCGUUUUGCGCAAUGGUCUUGUACGCAAUGAGCUGAUUACGCGCGCAUCUCCCAUCGCACUGGAUCGGCUCCUCACCUGUCGGGUGUGCACGGCUGCCUCUCCCACUGUGCCCCUUUAGGAGGUCAAGCCUAGAGAUCAGAGUGCGCUAGCACAUGUCUCUCUGCGAGCCCCUUCCGCUUGACACGCCCACGCCUGUGAGAGGCGUGCGGGCUUAGGGGAAGUCGGAGUGCCCUUGGUGCCACAAGCUCAUAGCAGCGUCCCACCUGUCGCGGCGCACGCAGGCAAGCCAUCCAGACACGCCCACCUCAAAAAAAAAAUGGCACAAACGGAAAUGUAAGAUCAAAAAAAUAGCAAGCCCCUUCCCCAGACAACAGCAUCGUCCUGAAACAAGCCCAAGGAUGCAGGAAUGCGAGCACUGUGCGCACGCGCUGCCAUGCACAGCUGGCACGGUGUCUCACACCCAGACAAAGCAUCUAGAGGUCGGAGGAGCACGAGUGGGGGAAGGAAAAGGUGCCAAUAUAUCCACGCCAAUCAAUGACCCAGUGCAUGUGCACGAAGCAUGCAGCUUCUUCUGCAUCUCACCGGCGGACUGAUGAGGCAUAGAUGCCGGAAGCAGCACGAGACCCCCCCCCCCCCCCCCCCCAG